GGAUUAGAUACCCUGGUAGUCCACGCCGUAAACGAUGUCGACUUGGAGGUUGUGCCCUUGAGGCGUGGCUUCCGGAGCUAACGCGUUAAGUCGACCGCCUGGGGAGUACGGCCGCAAGGUUAAAACUCAAAUGAAUUGACGGGGGCCCGCACAAGCGGUGGAGCAUGUGGUUUAAUUCGAUGCAACGCGAAGAACCUUACCUGGUCUUGACAUCCACAGAACUUUCCAGAGAUGNNNUGGUGCCUUCGGGAACUGUGAGACAGGUGCUGCAUGGCUGUCGUCAGCUCGUGUUGUGAAAUGUUGGGUUAAGUCCCGCAACGAGCGCAACCCUUAUCCUUUGUUGCCAGCGGUUAGGCCGGGAACUCAAAGGAGACUGCCAGUGAUAAACUGGAGGAAGGUGGGGAUGACGUCAAGUCAUCAUGGCCCUUACGACCAGGGCUACACACGUGCUACAAUGGCGCAUACAAAGAGAAGCGAUCUCGCGAGAGCCAGCGGACCUCAUAAAGUGCGUCGUAGUCCGGAUUGGAGUCUGCAACUCGACUCCAUGAAGUCGGAAUCGCUAGUAAUCGUGAAUCAGAAUGUCACGGUGAAUACGUUCCCGGGCCUUGUACACACCGCCCGUCACACCAUGGGAGUGGGUUGCAAAAGAAGUAGGUAGCUUAACCUUCGGGAGGGCGCUUACCACUUUGUGAUUCAUGACUGGGGUGAAGUCGUAA
rnacentral:rRNA from 1 species